rnacentral:rRNA from 1 species
UACGUAGGGUGCAAGCGUUAAUCGGAAUUACUGGGCGUAAAGCGUGCGCAGGCGGUUUUGUAAGUCUGUCGUGAAAGCCCCGGGCUCAACCUGGGAAUUGCGAUGGAGACUGCAAGGCUUGAAUCUGGCAGAGGGGGGUAGAAUUCCACGUGUAGCAGUGAAAUGCGUAGAGAUGUGGAGGAAUACCGAUGGCGAAGGCAGCCCCCUGGGAUAACACUGACGCUCAUGCACGAAAGCGUGGGGAGCAAACAGG